GCCUACGGGAGGCUGCAGUCGAGAAUCUUCGGCAAUGGGCGCAAGCCUGACCGAGCGACGCCGCGUGCGGGAUGAAGGCCUUCGGGUUGUAAACCGCUGUCGUAGGGGAGGAAGGUUUGGUGUAUAGCCAAGCUUGACCGAUCCUAGGAGGAAGGGCCGGCUAAUCUCGUGCCAGCAGCCGCGGUAAUACGAGAGGCCCAAACGUUAUUCGGAAUUACUGGGCUUAAAGAGUUCGUAGGCGGCAUGAAAAGCAGGGUGUGAAAGCCCUCGGCUCAACCGAGGAAGUGCGCUCUGAACUGUCGUGCUAGAGGAAUCUAGAGGUGAGCGGAACUGAUGGUGGAGCGGUGAAAUGCGUUGAUAUCAUCAGGAACACCGGAGGCGAAGGCGGCUCACUGGGGAUUUUCUGACGCUGAGGAACGAAAGCCAGGGGAGCGAACGGGAUUAGAUACCCCUGUAGUCCC
rnacentral:rRNA from 1 species